UACGUAGGGUGCAGGCGUUAAUCGGAAUUACUGGGCGUAAAGGGCGCGUAGGCGGGAUGGCAAGUCGGUCGUGAAAUCCCUCGGCUCAACCGAGGAACGUCGAUCGAUACUGCUGUUCUUGAGGAUUGCAGAGGAGACUGGAAUUCCCGGUGUAGCGGUGAAAUGUGUAGAGAUCGGGAGGAACACCGGUGGCGAAGGCGGGUCUCUGGGCAAUUCCUGACGCUGAGGCGCGAAAGCGUGGGGAGCAAACGGG
rnacentral:rRNA from 1 species